UACGAAGGGUGCAAGCGUUACUCGGAAUUACUGGGCGUAAAGCGUGCGUAGGUGGUUGUUUAAGUCUGUUGUGAAAGCCCUGGGCUCAACCUGGGAAUUGCAGUGGAUACUGGGCGACUAGAGUGUGGUAGAGGGUAGUGGAAUUCCCGGUGUAGCAGUGAAAUGCGUAGAGAUCGGGAGGAACAUCCAUGGCGAAGGCAACUACCUGGACCAACACUGACACUGAGGCACGAAAGCGUGGGGAGCAAACAGG
rnacentral:rRNA from 1 species